GGGUUGUGAGGUUAAGCGACUAAGCGUACACGGUGGAUGCCCUGGCAGUCAGAGGCGAUGAAGGGCGUGCUAAUCUGCGAUAAGCGCCGGUAAGGUGAUAUGAACCGUUAUAACCGGCGAUACCCGAAUGGGGAAACCCAGUGUGACUCGUCACACUAUCAUUAACUGAAUCCAUAGGUUAAUGAGGCGAACCGGGGGAACUGAAACAUCUAAGUACCCCGAGGAAAAGAAAUCAACCGAGAUUCCCCCAGUAGCGGCGAGCGAACGGGGAGGAGCCCAGAGCCUGAAUCAGCAUGUGUGUUAGUGGAAGCGUCUGGAAAGGCGCGCGAUACAGGGUGACAGCCCCGUACACAAAAGCGCAUGUGCUGUGAGCUCGAUGAGUAGGGCGGGACACGUGGUAUCCUGUCUGAAUAUGGGGGGACCAUCCUCCAAGGCUAAAUACUCCUGACUGACCGAUAGUGAACCAGUACCGUGAGGGAAAGGCGAAAAGAACCCCGGCGAGGGGAGUGAAAAAGAACCUGAAACCGUGUACGUACAAGCAGUGGGAGCACAGGUUUACCUGUGUGACUGCGUACCUUUUGUAUAAUGGGUCAGCGACUUAUAUUCUGUAGCAAGGUUAACCGAAUAGGGGAGCCGCAGGGAAACCGAGUCUUAACCGGGCGUUAAGUUGCAGGGUAUAGACCCGAAACCCGGUGAUCUAGCCAUGGGCAGGUUGAAGGUUGGGUAACACUAACUGGAGGACCGAACCGACUAAUGUUGAAAAAUUAGCGGAUGACCUGUGGCUGGGGGUGAAAGGCCAAUCAAACCGGGAGAUAGCUGGUUCUCCCCGAAAGCUAUUUAGGUAGCGCCUCGUGAAUUCAUCUCCGGGGGUAGAGCACUGUUUCGGCUAGGGGGCCAUCCCGGCUUACCAACCCGAUGCAAACUGCGAAUACCGGAGAAUGUUAUCACGGGAGACACACGGCGGGUGCUAACGUCCGUCGUGAAGAGGGAAACAACCCAGACCGCCAGCUAAGGUCCCAAAGUCAUGGUUAAGUGGGAAACGAUGUGGGAAGGCCCAGACAGCCAGGAUGUUGGCUUAGAAGCAGCCAUCAUUUAAAGAAAGCGUAAUAGCUCACUGGUCGAGUCGGCCUGCGCGGAAGAUGUAACGGGGCUAAACCAUGCACCGAAGCUGCGGCAGCGACACUAUGUGUUGUUGGGUAGGGGAGCGUUCUGUAAGCCUGUGAAGGUGUGUCGUGAGGCAUGCUGGAGGUAUCAGAAGUGCGAAUGCUGACAUAAGUAACGAUAAAGCGGGUGAAAAGCCCGCUCGCCGGAAGACCAAGGGUUCCUGUCCAACGUUAAUCGGGGCAGGGUGAGUCGACCCCUAAGGCGAGGCCGAAAGGCGUAGUCGAUGGGAAACGGGUUAAUAUUCCCGUACUUGGUGUUACUGCGAAGGGGGGACGGAGAAGGCUAUGUUGGCCGGGCGACGGUUGUCCCGGUUUAAGCGUGUAGGUGUGUGUUCCAGGUAAAUCCGGUUCACUUUAACACUGAGGCGUGACGACGAGGCACUACGGUGCUGAAGCAACAAAUGCCCUGCUUCCAGGAAAAGCCUCUAAGCAUCAGGUAACAUCAAAUCGUACCCCAAACCGACACAGGUGGUCAGGUAGAGAAUACCAAGGCGCUUGAGAGAACUCGGGUGAAGGAACUAGGCAAAAUGGUGCCGUAACUUCGGGAGAAGGCACGCUGACACGUAGGUGAAGUGAUUUACUCACGGAGCUGAAGUCAGUCGAAGAUACCAGCUGGCUGCAACUGUUUAUUAAAAACACAGCACUGUGCAAACACGAAAGUGGACGUAUACGGUGUGACGCCUGCCCGGUGCCGGAAGGUUAAUUGAUGGGGUCAGCGCAAGCGAAGCUCCUGAUCGAAGCCCCGGUAAACGGCGGCCGUAACUAUAACGGUCCUAAGGUAGCGAAAUUCCUUGUCGGGUAAGUUCCGACCUGCACGAAUGGCGUAAUGAUGGCCAGGCUGUCUCCACCCGAGACUCAGUGAAAUUGAACUCGCUGUGAAGAUGCAGUGUACCCGCGGCAAGACGGAAAGACCCCGUGAACCUUUACUAUAGCUUGACACUGAACAUUGAGCCUUGAUGUGUAGGAUAGGUGGGAGGCUUUGAAGCGUGGACGCCAGUCUGCGUGGAGCCGACCUUGAAAUACCACCCUUUAAUGUUUGAUGUUCUAACGUGGACCCGUUACCCGGGUUGCGGACAGUGUCUGGUGGGUAGUUUGACUGGGGCGGUCUCCUCCUAAAGAGUAACGGAGGAGCACGAAGGUUGGCUAAUCCUGGUCGGACAUCAGGAGGUUAGUGCAAUGGCAUAAGCCAGCUUGACUGUGAGCGUGACGGCGCGAGCAGGUGCGAAAGCAGGUCAUAGUGAUCCGGUGGUUCUGAAUGGAAGGGCCAUCGCUCAACGGAUAAAAGGUACUCCGGGGAUAACAGGCUGAUACCGCCCAAGAGUUCAUAUCGACGGCGGUGUUUGGCACCUCGAUGUCGGCUCAUCACAUCCUGGGGCUGAAGUAGGUCCCAAGGGUAUGGCUGUUCGCCAUUUAAAGUGGUACGCGAGCUGGGUUUAGAACGUCGUGAGACAGUUCGGUCCCUAUCUGCCGUGGGCGCUGGAGAACUGAGGGGGGCUGCUCCUAGUACGAGAGGACCGGAGUGGACGCAUCACUGGUGUUCGGGUUGUCAUGCCAAUGGCACUGCCCGGUAGCUAAAUGCGGAAGAGAUAAGUGCUGAAAGCAUCUAAGCACGAAACUUGCCCCGAGAUGAGUUCUCCCUGAGACUUUAAGUCUCCUGAAGGAACGUUGAAGACGACGACGUUGAUAGGCCGGGUGUGUAAGCGCAGCGAUGCGUUGAGCUAACCGGUACUAAUGAACCGUGAGGCUUAACCUUACAACGCCGAAG
rnacentral:rRNA from 1 species